UUCUUAUAAUGUACAAACAGUAUUAUUAUCUAUUCUCACUAGAAUGUACUGAUGUCCAAUCAUCAUCAUCAUUUCUAUUUCAUUCACUGCUGGAUAUCUAUGUCUCCUCUUUUUGUUUUCAUAUGCACCCAUCUUGUACAAUCAGCAUCUACUGGAAACCAAUUACUUUUCUUCUGUCAUCUCUCUAUUGUUGUAUUGCCUGUCAGAAUGUCUUUUCCCUUGCCUUGGUUAUCAUUCUGUAAUUUUCUUUGUCCAAUAGUUAUUAAUAUUAUGAGAUAUAUCAAUAACUAUUAGACAAAAAGCUUCUAUCAGUGCCACUUACUGCUUCUAACUGCUACCAGUAUGUCUUCUACUUUG
rnacentral:lncRNA from 1 species